GGGCGCCUCGGAAAAAUGGGUUUCCACCAGGGGGCGAGGGAAGGAAAUUCCAGCAUGUGACGCACGUGACAAAACUUGUCAAGUGACUUUUACUUCACUUUGAGUGCGAGUCCCGACUCUGUUGUCCGUAAACAAGAAGACGGAAUCCCGGCUGAGAAGAAAAAUAGGUUUGUGUGCAUUGCACCACACAAAAUGCUUAAGAAAACUCUGCUCUCGGUAAAACAAUAGAAGCGAAAGCAAAAGGAAAAAUCUGUCGCGGGCUUUUCCAACUUGUUGCGCCUUUUGGCUAAAUUAUGACAUCGAGAGUUAGAGGGAAUAAGGAGCCCUACAUCGACGCACUGUAGUAUUUAAAGAUGAGCAAUGAAGUUUAAUUCAAUUGGAUUCACGGACAGUCGAGAGCAGCUUUCAAAUAUUAAUGUACAUAAACAGGAAAAUUAUGGCGCAACUGUAAUAUUAUUUAAAGGAGUAUAUUUGGGCUUAUCAAAAAGUAUGCCACUCAGAAGGCCAUGAAAUCAAAGUUAUAACUUUUAAACCUAGUUUCCCAAAGGAGUAUGUGAGGUUCAUUCUCGUUUGGUUUCUCUAACAGAAAACAUCUUUUUGGACGACUACCAAAUUUUUUUUGGGCUAAAAAUCCUAUUUCCGUAAACAGGCUAAUACAAAGAUGUGCAACCCAGGAAUGUGUACGAUGCCCGGCACUUGCUGUGGACCGACUGGCGGACUGGGGCCCUGUUUGCUGUGCGGACCGUAUAAUGGCCAGUGGUUCCGCUCGAUCAACCACUGCUGUGGUCCUUGCGGCCCAUACGGCAGCUGUUCGUGCUACGGGCCCUACGGAGGACAUUGUUAGCCUGCUUAGAAGGAAAGUAGGAUUUAUCAAUCCGCCAUCCCGAAAUGGAGCUCAAAGCAGUGCCUCAUUGAAGCCUCGUUGAAAAUGAAGAUCCAUUCAGAAACGCUAGCAAACAAAGUGGAACCAAAAAUUUGUGUGUGCCGAAAAUUGUUGGGAUAUAUCACGUUGAGGAUCUGACUAGGAACUUCCCGUUUUAACCAACAGCAAUAGAUGUUAAUAAAUUUUGCGUAUAAA